UUUGGGGGAAGAAAUGAGAUUGGAUGUCGCCACCGGUUAUUUUUUUGCCCCCCAACUUGUUCCAACAACGAUUUUCAGCCGUGUGGGGAGGAAAAGACGGGGGAACGGCGACCAACACCUUGUGUGGUGCAAGAGGGGAAGGUGCUGAGCCCGCCGGCAGCCCCGUCACAGCCCCGACCUGGCACCUCCGUGGGGACGUCGCCGUCCCUGCUCCAGGAAGCUCAGCGUGCAGGCGUCAGCCCCACAAGCGUCUCGCCCUGUGCCCCAGCCGCUGAGCGCUCCGUGAGCCUCUUCCAGCUCAUUUCCAUCACAGCUGGGCUUGCCCAGUCCAUUUAUUUCCCCCGUCUACUUCCCCAUGUGCCACCCCGUGCUGCAGUCCCUCCUGCUCCCCUCCCUAUCAUCAGGGGGCACCCGAGCAGUUUUAAUUUCCCUGUUUUCUUCCGUUAUCCUUCACCGCAAGCCGGGCCCGGCCAGCGCUGGGGACACCUGUGCUUUUUAGCUGUUGCAGUGAGCCUGUUCGUGGCAGCCCACGGGGCCGGGGCCGCUCUCUGUGCCGGCCGGGGGUGCUCCACGGGGAGCUUGACCCGCAGAAAGCCUCAAAUCCUGCUUGCCGUGGUGGUGCUGAGCCGUGCAGAGCCGUGGAGUGGUUUGUGGCCGACAGCCCGUGAGCCUUUUCGGGACAGCCCCAACCUCCUGGAGGGAUCAGGUGCCUCCAAUCCAGCCGUGCGUGCGUGCUGGGGACGAGCGUGCCCGUGCCCUGGAUGCGUCCCCCUGUGCAGCCACCCAGGUGCCGCGUGGCACCCCGGGGACCCAGCAGCUGGUGGCUUUGGGGUGAAACCGAAGAGAAAACCAAAAGCUGGGCUCCUGCUGGAGCCAGGUGAAUGCAGAGGCACGCGGGGAGGGGAGAGCCCCCGGCCCACGCCGUCGGCUCCGUCGGGUGCACAGGGCCACGGAGCUCAGCAUCGAAGCAGGGGUCGCUCUGCCUCCCCCCCCCCGGGUCCUGGUCCUGCACGGCCUCCUGCCCCCGGCCGUCUGUGGAAGCAGGGCUACAACCCCGGGGAGGGCGGAGCAGCACCAGCAAGGAGAACUACAAAGUCCUUUGGGGUUCAGCUUGAAUAUUCAUCUCGGGCAUGGAAAAAAGGGGGUUUCCUGGCGGCGGGGAAACGCAUGGGAGCGUUUCAGAACAAGCCGCCCUUCCAGUUCUCUAACCACCCUUGGAAACAGCCUCGCCUGCUCUCGGCUGACCUUCUGAGGGCUCCUUGCUCAGACUGCGAGGAUCCGCUCGCUUUGGGGACGGAGCUUUUCCACGCUCCUGCCUCGCUUGUCAGCACUCGCCCGGGCACAAGGCAGGGGAGGCUGCGGCCGGCGGGAUGGGCGCCGGGGGCCGGGAGCCCUCCCGGAGCCGAAUUUGCUGCUGGCCCUAUACAGAGGGGACUCGGGGAGCCGGCAAAGCUGUUUGGGGCUGAGGGUGUGAGUUUUUUCCCAUUGCUCCCCCUCCUGCAGACGUGA
rnacentral:lncRNA from 1 species